rnacentral:tRNA from 1 species
GACCUCGUAGCUUAGUUGACUAGAGCGUUGGAUGUACUAAAAUCUUCCUCUGGCUGGCGUGGGUUCGAAUCCCAUCGAGGCCG